rnacentral:rRNA from 1 species
UGACGGUACUUGAGGAGGAAGCCCCGGCUAACUACGUGCCAGCAGCCGCGGUAAUACGUAGGUGGCGAGCGUUAUCCGGAAUGAUUGGGCGUAAAGGGUGCGUAGGUGGCAGAACAAGUCCGGAGUAAAAGGUAUGGGCUCAACCCGUACUGGCUCUGGAAACUGUUCAGCUAGAGAACAGAAGAGGACGGCGGAACUCCAUGUGUAGCGGUAAAAUGCGUAGAUAUAUGGAAGAACACCGGUGGCGAAGGCGGCCGUCUGGUCUGUUGCUGACACUGAAGCACGAAAGCGUGGGGAGCAAAUAGGAUUAGAUACCCUAGUAGUCCACGCCGUAAACGGUGAGAACUAGGUGUUGGGGGAAUAACUCAGUGCCGCAGUUAACGCAAUAAGUUCUCCGCCUGGGGAGUAUGCACGCAAGUGUGAAACUCAAAGGAAUUGACGGGGCCCGCACAAGCGGUGGAGUAUGUGGUUUAAUUCGAAGCAACGCGAAGAACCUUACCAGGCCUUGACAUCCCUUGCAGAGGUAUAGAGAUAUAUCCGAGGUUAUCAAGGAGACAGGUGGUGCAUGGUUGUCGUCAGCUCGUGUCGUGAGAUGUUGGGUUAAGUCCCGCAACGAGCGCAACCCUUGUGAUAUGUUACUAACAUUGAGUUGAGGACUCAUAUCAGACUGCCGGUGAUAAACCGGAGGAAGGUGGGGAUGACGUCAAAUCAUCAUGCCCCUUAUGGCCUGGGCUACACACGUACUACAAUGGCGUCUACAAAGAGCGGCAAGCCUGUGAAGGCAAGCGAAUCUCAUAAAGGACGUCUCAGUUCGGAUUGAAGUCUGCAACCCGACUUCAUGAAGCUGGAAUCGCUAGUAAUCGCGAAUCAGCAUGUCGCGGUGAAUACGUUCUCGGGCCUUGCACACACCGCCCGUCAA